AGUGAACGUUGGCGGCGUGGAUUAGGCAUGCAAGUCGAGCGAGAACCCGCAAGGGGGACGAGCGGCAAACGGGGUAGUAAUGUGUCGGAACGUGCCCUCUGGACGGGGAUAGCGGCGGGAAACUGCCGGUAAUACCCGAUGAACUCGAGAGAGCAAAGGUGUGAUUCCGCCGGAGGAGCGGCCGACAUGGUAUUAGCUAGUUGGCGGGGUAACGGCCCACCAAGGCUGUGAUGCCUAGGGGAUGUGAGAGCAUGAUCCCCACCAUUGGGACUGAGACACUGCCCAGACACCUACGGGUGGCUGCAGUCGAGAAUCUUCGUCAAUGGGCGAAAGCCUGAACGAGCGACGCCGCGUGCGGGAUGAAGGCCCUUGGGUUGUAAACCGCUGUCGAGGGGAUGAAGGCUUGAAGGUACUCCUUCAAGUUUGACAGAGCCCUGGAGGAAGCACGGGCUAAGUUCGUGCCAGCAGCCGCGGUAAUGUGACGCUUCU
rnacentral:rRNA from 1 species